AGGCCUUAAGAAAUGUACUUCUAUAAAAUUGGAUUUUAUUUCAAUUAGACUUGUCUCUUUCCGCUCAUCAAGUUAACAAUGAUCUCUGAGAUGACUUCCAGCACUUGCUUUUCACACACAAAAAUCAGUCUCUAUAGUACUUACUAAAUAAAGGAAAGGCCUUCCUCGCCCAUGAACAGUGCAUCAAUGAUACAGCCAAGGAGAGAAUUAAAACAUAAUUGUUUGCAAUUGCCAAAAAAAAAAAAAAAAAAAAAAC